AUUGAACGCUGGCGGCAGGCCUAACACAUGCAAGUCGAACGAGUGGCGGACGGGUGAGUAAUGUCUGGGAAACUGCCCGUAGGAGGGGGAUAACUACUGGAAACGGUAGCUAAUACCGCAUACCUUCGGAGGUGCACAGAUUGGAUUAGCUAGUAGGUGUGGUAACGGCUCACCUAGGCGACGAUGCCUAGCCGGUCUGAGAGGAUGACCAGCCACACUGGAACUGAGACACGGUCCAGACUCCUACGGGAGGCAGCAGUGGGGAAUAUUGCACAAUGGGCGCAAGCCUGAUGCAGCCAUGCCGCGUGUAUGAAGAAGGCCUUCGGGUUGUAAAGUACUUUCAGCGGGGAGGCGUUACCCGCAGAAGAAGCACCGGCUAACUCCGUGCCAGCAGCCGCGGUAAUAC
rnacentral:rRNA from 1 species